CGAAGAGUUAUGAGUCUUCCAAUUGAAUAGAUCAGUUGUGGUGAAGGGGACAUAGACAAACACUGGAUCUGCCCGUUGUAUUUGGCCACCAUUUUCAUCAACGUGUGUUGGGCCCGGUGUAAGUCGGAGAGGCAUCUGGCAAUGUCGGGAUGGAAGGGUGCCAGUCAAUUGUCAGGUUAGUAUGGGGCUUCGGCAAGGCUGCUCAGUAAUAGGUUCAGGUCUGAGAGUAGUAAGAUAGGUGGAAGGGGGUGAGCUAAUUUUACUAGUCAGCAUUUG